rnacentral:rRNA from 1 species
UACAGAGGGUGCGAGCGUUGUUCGGAAUUACUGGGCGUAAAGCGUUUGUAGGCGGUGCUGCGAGUCCUAGGUGAAAUCCCCGAGCUCAACUCGGGAACUGCCUAGGAGACCUCAGUACUAGAGUACUGAAGGGGUUACUGGAAUUCCAUGUGUAGCGGUGAAAUGCGUAGAUAUAUGGAGGAACACCUGUGGCGAAGGCGGGUAACUGGUCAGAGACUGACGCUGAGAAACGAAAGCAUGGGGAGCGAACAGG